AUUGAACGCUGGCGGCAGGCCUAACACAUGCAAGUCGAACGAGUGGCGGACGGGUGAGUAAUGUGUGGGAAACUGCCUGAUGGAGGGGGAUCACUACUGGAAACGGUAUCUAAUACCUCAAACCAUCGGAUGUACCCAGAUGGGAAUAGCUAGUAGGGGGGGUAAAGGCUCACCUAGGCGACGAUCCCUAGCUGGUAUGAGAGGAUGACCAGCCACACUGGAACUGAGACACGGUCCAGACUCCUACGGGAGGCAGAAGUGGGGAAUAUUGCACAAUGGGCGCAAGCCUGAUGCAGCCAUGCCGCGUGUAUGAAGAAGGCCUUCGGGUUGUAAAGUACUUUCAGCGGGGAGGCGUUACCCACAGAAGAAGCACCGGCUAACUCCGUGCCAGCAGCCGCGGUAAUUC
rnacentral:rRNA from 1 species